rnacentral:rRNA from 1 species
CGCCAGACUCCUACGGGAGGCAGCAGUGGGGAAUAUUGCGCAAUGGGGGCAACCCUGACGCAGCAACGCCGCGUGCAGGAAGAAGGUCUUCGGAUUGUAAACUGUUGUCGCAGGGGAAGAAGACAGUGACGGUACCCUGUGAGAAAGUCACGGCUAACUACAUGCCAGCAGCCGCGGUAAUACGUAGGUGACAAGCGUUGUCCGGAUUUACUGGGUGUAAAGGGCGCGUAGGCGGACUGUCAAGUCAGUCGUGAAAUACCGGGGCUUAACCCCGGGGCUGCGAUUGAAACUGACAGCCUUGAGUAUCGGAGAGGAAAGCGGAAUUCCUAGUGUAGCGGUGAAAUGCGUAGAUAUUAGGAGGAACACCAGUGGCGAAGGCGGCUCUCUGGUCUGCAACUGACGCUGAGGCUCGAAAGCAUGGGUAGCGAACAGGAUUAGAUACCCCUGUA